UUUGUUUGGUCAAGAUUGGCAGAUGACAAGUUUCGUAGCUGGUUCUGCUUUUGACGUUUUUACAGGUGAGAUCCAGCCAAAACUUUCGCAUCAAUAUCUUUCUUCUCUGUAUAAUUCUUGGAAUCGCUUCUUACUUGUACAAUAUAUGAAGCUGAGUUGGAUUAAGAGCUUAUUGUUCAAGUGGUUGAACUAUGGGAUAGCCCCGAGUUGCGAGGUAAAUUUGGAAGAGCAUUCAUUGACUUCAAUACUGCACUUCAAUCAUCUUCUUAGCUUUCUGUAGAAUUUCUUCAUUUCAUUUCUGGAUUUACUAUCAAAUAUCUCCCGUUUCCAUUGAGCUUUAUUAACUUAGUGUAAUUGGAAGAAGUCAAAUAUAAAGAGAGAAGUAUUUUUUGCC